CCCAGACCCAGUAACCACUGGAGGCUGAGAAGGCGAAACUCCAGGAGUGGACGUAGACUGAGUUACUGGGGCACUACUACUCCGUGGAAGAUAACCGUUAUUUGGACCGUUUAAGCUAGGAGAGAAUGAGGAUUCCAUCUUUGGUCUGAAUUCUUGCCUAACUUGAUGGUUGAAGUUAGGACGAUUUAGAGUUUGACUCGGAUACUGAGACAGACUUAGAUUGCUGAUAUCAGGUGCCGACAAGAGAGGUGGAGACGAGAACCUAGGCCCGUGCAUAGGAUGGGCACCGUUACCAGUAGGAGGAUGCAGGUUCUCUGGGCGAUAAGAGCGGAAAACAUUACCAUAAGGUGGCUGCAUAUUAGGAGCACCUGGCCUGACAGCAUUGGGAUAAUAGUUUUGAGCAUGAUUUGGAAUGCUAUUAUUUCUAUUAUUCCAAGAAGGAUCAGGGUUAGGGUAAGGUUGUCUAGGAGGAAAAGGAGGACCAGGUCUAGGAGGAUAGUUGUACUGUAACUGAUUCUGAGGAUGAUUACUCAUGACAUUACCAGGGAAAGGGUUAACGUUGCUAGGGGGUUGUAAAUUGGGAGGAGGUCUGCUAGAGGGCUGCUGCUGGCUACUGGCAAAAAGCUCAUGUGGGGCUUUCUUAAACGGUUUCCCUUGAGUGUUGUUCUGUUGUUGUUGUUGUUGUUGCUGCUGACGGUAGUUAUUGUUAGGCUUACUUUCCUGGACUUUUGGCUGCUGAUUUGAUGAUUUUGGAACGUAUUUAACCUUUGAUUUGUUGUUAGAAUCCAGAGGUUGGCUUGAUGAACUACACACAGAAGAAGAUUGAAGAGUGGAAUUGAGAACAAGUUGUGAGCUUUCGCUUGGCGUGAGAGGACAUCCUCCAGCAGAUAGGCUAGUCCAAAGCCACACAGUCCUAGCAGCAUGAAUAAGCGGCACUGAUGCUUUGAGAGGCUGAGCCAAUAGUA